rnacentral:rRNA from 1 species
GACGAACGCUGGCGGCGUGCUUAACACAUGCAAGUCGAACGGAAAGGCCUCUUUCGGGGGGUACUCGAGUGGCGAACGGGUGAGUAACACGUGAGUAACCUGCCCUUGACUUUGGGAUAACUUCAGGAAACUGGGGCUAAUACCGGAUAGGAGCUCCUGCUGCAUGGUGGGGGUUGGAAAGUUUCGGCGGUUGGGGAUGGACUCGCGGCUUAUCAGCUUGUUGGUGGGGUAGUGGCUUACCAAGGCUUUGACGGGUAGCCGGCCUGAGAGGGUGACCGGCCACAUUGGGACUGAGAUCCGGCCCAGACUCCUACGGGAGGCAGCAGUGGGGAAUAUUGCACAAUGGGUGGAAGCCUGAUGCAGCAACGCCGUGUGCGGGAUGACGGCCUUCGGGUUGUAAACCGCUUUCGCUCAUGACGAAGCUUUGUGUGACGGUAGUGGGUAAAGAAGCACCGGCUAACUACGUG